rnacentral:rRNA from 1 species
AAUAGAUACCCGGGUAGUCCACGCCGUAAACGAUGAGUGCUAAGUGUUAGAGGGUUUCCGCCCUUUAGUGCUGCAGCUAACGCAUUAAGCACUCCGCCUGGGGAGUACGGCCGCAAGGCUGAAACUCGAAGGAAUUGACGGGGGCCCGCACAAGCGGUGGAGCAUGUGGUUUAAUUCGAAGCAACGCGAAGAACCUUACCAGGUCUUGACAUCCUCUGCCAACCCUAGAGAUAGGGCGUUCCCCUUCGGGGGACAGAGUGACAGGUGGUGCAUGGUUGUCGUCAGCUCGUGUCGUGAGAUGUUGGGUUAAGUCCCGCAACGAGCGCAACCCUUGAUCUUAGUUGCCAGCAUUUAGUUGGGCACUCUAAGGUGACUGCCGGUGACAAACCGGAGGAAGGUGGGGAUGACGUCAAAUCAUCAUGCCCCUUAUGACCUGGGCUACACACGUGCUACAAUGGAUGGUACAAAGAGCUGCGAACCCGCGAGGGUAAGCGAAUCUCAUAAAGCCAUUCUCAGUUCGGA